rnacentral:sRNA from 1 species
AUGGUUACCAUGAUGAAUUUGAGCAUCGACAGCAAGAGUGAAUCUAGCUGAGACUUUCUUCCUUCUCUGGGACUCAGUUUACCACGUGAGAAAUGGGCCAAAUCCUCAGUACCUUGCUGGCUGGAAGGUUCUCAGUUGUGCGUAAUCUCAGGUUAGUGGGCACCAAAAUUGUGCAAGGAGGGAACCCACCUCCUUGUCCUUCUUGUCCAGGGCCUCCUGGGCAUGGCUCUGGGCCUAGCUCACCCUCCCCGCCUCUGUAUGAAGCCUCUGGAGCUGCUGCUCUGUGGCCAGCUGGACCACGGGCUGCGUACCUCUCGCUCUUCAUAAACAAAAGCCUCAUGCUGCACCUGUGGUCUAAGUCAACGUGUUGGGCCAAUGUGUGACUCUCGGGACAUUUAGCCAAAGAGGGUUGGCUCCUUGGGCUCUUCCCACCCUUCCAUGCUGAGGUGAUACCAUUCCACCUCAAGGAACGUUCUGAUUCCCAACCGACAGCGGAACUGUUUGUCCCUGGACAGGUAGUUAGGCUUCUCUGUGCCCUGGCAAUCACCCUAGAAACUUACAGUUCCUUUUACUGCUCCUCACGGGGAAUGAAUGUCCAUGCAAUAUCAACUUUAAAAGCAGAAAUAAGAUUUGAACUCUGUCAAACUCUGUCAGCAACUUCCACCUUAAGUGAUCUCAUCCUGCCAAACUGAUUAUCAUCAUCUGAGCUGGCAGUCAAGUUGUCUACAGAUCCUCAUCUAAUAAGCUCAGAAGCAGAUGUACUUGCCGAUUGGUGCUGUCUGUAAGGUGGAGGGAAACAUCUUGAUGUUAAACUAAACGAGAAAUAAUUGAAAGGAUCACUGCGAUGACAGGAGAGGGAUUAUUAUUCUGAUGGAAUUAGAACUCCACGGUUGAGAGUCAUUCGUUCGUGCUAGUGCAGCAGAAGGAUAUAUUUCUUGGCUUAGAUGUCAAGCACAUCUAAGAGAUCUCAGCUGGGGCCUCUUCAAGGAUUCUGUGCUUGAAGACAACCAGAGUCAAGCAACAGAGGGUGGACUACCAGAGGUAGAGUGGAUGAGAGAGAUACACAAGCUUGUUCUCCAGAUAACUUCUAGACUUCAAUUCGUCAAUUGUCUUGCUAAAAACUGUGAUGAAAACUACAUAAAGCUGAUCUAAGAAAGGAAAGCCAGCCUGGAUGACCCAACUUCAGGUUUCGACAGUACUGGACUCUGAUUUCCUCUUUGGUUGGAUAGAUCUGGAGUGAGAGAAGCACCAUGUUGUCUGCAGGCCAGAAGAUGAUCAACACAGGGACUAAGGGCCAAACAUGUUCUUUGUCCCACUGAGAACAGAUUCCAAGCUCAAAGAGGAGGCUAAGAUUAAAUUUAAAUUAUAUUCAGCUUUGUAAUGCAUUAUUAAUUUUUAACUAUGUGAAACUUAGUUACAUUGUAUUGAAGGAAUCAAAUACUAGCAACUCCUUAUGUUCCAACCUACAAGUGGAUUGGAAUAAUCUAAUUGCCAAAAUAAAAUUAUUCUUGAUAAUGAGAGGAACAGAAAUAGCUGUGAUAAUCUACAUGAGAUUUCCUCCAUGGUUACAUAAGUAAGAACUGAUCUGAAGAACAGAGUUAGAGAUCAGUGGAUAAAGAAUGAAGCUGUAUAUACUACAGUGAGCUUACCAGGUCCUGUUUAUUAUAUGUAUGUAUGUAUGUAUGCAUGCAUGCAUGUAUGUAUGUAUGUAUGUAUAUAUGCUUAUAUAUAUUUACAUGAAAAGGAACUUAGUAUGUUCAUGAACCAAUAUAAUCUAUAAAUAGUAAUUCUUUAAUAUGUGGAUUUAUUUUGCAACAAUGAUUGUUAUGGCAGCACUAUUUUGGCUUAUAGGAAUAUAUACUGAAGCUAAAAAGACAGAUAGGAUCUUCUCUCUAUAAGGAGCAGGAUAGGAGAGUAAGAACGGCUUGAAAACAUUAAUUAAAAACACAAGAUUAACCCAAGAUAUAAUAGGAGCUAUUAUGCAAGUGGACAUCAUCCUUUGACUGGGGUAUCUGAGGUAAAAUGACAUUUGAAGUGACAUAGGAAGAAAAGAAGGAUUAUCUAUUGAAUGAACAAGAGGGAAAUUAUUCUGGGCAAAAAUAAUUGCAGAUGAUGCUUUAUCAGAAAAGGGUGAAGGACAGAAAGGAAGCCAGUUCAGUGAUGCUGUUCUAGGACUUCCAUUUGACCUUGACCUACUGGAAGUUUGAGCUAUGUUCACUUCAAAUCCGAUUCCCCAGUUCCCAGAUGAGCAGAGGAGUACAGUUCCGGGGCUUUAAAGAAAUCCCAUUUGUUCUGUUGCAGGGAAAUUUGCUAAGCCUUUAAUUCAACAGCAAAUUUUAAAUAAGUUUCAUAGUUAUACACAGAUUUUAGUCAGCAAGAAGGUACACAAAUUUGUAUAACCUAGCCUCUUAUUUAAAGGCCAGAUCCUUAUCAUAGGGUGUAACUACCUCUCUCUCUCUCUCUCUCUCUCUCUCUCUCUCUCUCUCUCUUUCUCUGUCUACUUGCAAAGAGAUACCACACAUCCAUGUUUGUCCCUGCAGCAUUCAUAAUAACCAUAGUAUAGAAACAGCCUAGGUGUUCAUUAACAGGUCAAUGAAUUAAAAUAUAGUACAUAUGCAAAAUGAAAUUUUGUUUAUCGAUAAAAAAUGAAAUUAUGCUACCAAUAGGUUAAUUAAUGGACUUGGAGAUUAUUACAUUAAAAAAUAAAUUAUUCAGAAAGACAAAUAUGGCAUUUUCUCUCAUAUGCAUAAUAUAUUUCACACAUAUAUAUUACAUGUAUAAUUUCUUAGUUUUACAUAUACAUGUGAUUAUGAGUACAUAUUUGUGUAUGCAUAUAUGCACAUUACAGAAAAAUGGGGACUACUUGGUAGAAGGAAGGGUAGCAGUGGAAGGGUAGGAUGGAGAUACAAGAGCAGGUAACAAAAUAAACAUUAGUAAAGUACAAAAGAUGCAUGUAUGAUGGUAUCGUAAUGAUAUCUUUGUUAACUUAAAAUUUACUAGAAAUAAGGACAAAAUGCACUAAAUUAUUUUGGACUUGAAGAUGUGACCUUCAAGUGAAAAUAAAGCCGGCAGCGAGAAGAUGAAGAAAGAUAAGGGGGCAUUGUCAGGAAAUGAGGGACUCACAGGAUGAUUAGUGGUCACUUUUCACUGUCCACGUUAAUUUGGGUCUUUCCUUUUUAUCACUGACAGUUGCUUCUACCUAUUUUCUGUCAAGGUAAUUAAUAUUGAAAAGGAAUAAGAUCUUGCUUUAUAUUAAAUAGCCAAAAAGAGAGAAUUUCAAACCGAGACUGGGAAAAAAAUUUACUAUAAUGCGUACUUCUAUGGUACAAGGAAAAAAGUUUAUGGGGAAAAUACAGUAAUGUGCAAUCUAAACUUUAUACUUCUACUGUUCUAUAGCAUUAAAUAAUCCUCCAGAAAAUGCACAUAUACAAUGUCAGUAGUCAAUGUGUGGUCCAGUAUGGGAUAGCAACUGCCCACCAGAGGAUGGUGCCUUAUCUCAGGCUGCUGCAUCUGGGACUUUUCGAUCGCAACAUAUGCUUUCUGUGAUGUCCAUGAUUUGGGACAUUUGUAUUGGGAAGUGACACACGUCACUUCUGUUUAGGGUUCACUGUGCAAAUUAAGCCCUGUUGGUCAGUCACAACAUAAAGGUAGUAGACAAAGGCAAUUUUCCUUGUAUGCUGCAAAGUAGACACAAGCUGGAAACUGAUAAAUAUAAGUGUCUGGUGUAGUAACCUCACAGGGAUGCUGCCUGACAUGCCUGGACACCUUAAUCUUUGUGAUCUCCUUGAGCAUUUACUUCUGAAAUGUUUAUUGGGACCUGUGUACCGGAGCGGCUUGAAACCAACAUUAUGACCCUUAAAGUAUAAGGACUAAUAAACAAGGAAUAUCAUUUGUACAUCCAUCUGUGUAUCUAACUUGAGCUUCUCAACUGUGGAUUUCUGGGUCUGACCCACAGAAACUUGAGAUUCUGUGUACCAGGAUGCAGGUUUAUGAGGUCAUGUUUCUAUGAAGCUUCUUGUGGCUAGCCAAGUUUGCAAGCAUAUUUAGGAACUACCACAAUGCAGAGUAUUGAGUGUCAGUUCUUUUACAUAUAAGGAGUGUAGGCACUUGUUCCAUGUGCCAUUUCCUGGGGAUAUAUAAACCCCAGAUAGGAAACUAAUGACAGGCCAAAGUAAAUGCCACUAAAGUCCAUCUUUUCAAACCAACGGAUCUACUGUGGCUACUUAAAGAAUUAUGAAUGAAGGGUUACGUAAAGAAGCAUGGAUGUUCCAAAAGUGGCAUCAUCAAUACUGCAAUGCCUUCCCUAGCACAUGUGACAAAUAAUGAAAGAUACAUCCCUGGAGCUCCCUAAAAGAUUUGCAGGCAACAUGACUCUUCAGAAUUUUCCUCUGGCCAGCAUUAUUUUAUUACUUACAGAACCCCGGGGAGACACCUUGUGAUUCA